CCCGUUUCAGAGUUUAUAAUGGGUGUGUAUGGGACGGAAUGUUGGGGCUAGAGUGAGGCAGCUCAACUGCUAGAGUGAGAGGAGCAAAAAAAUUAAUCUUAAAAUCUUUUUUAAAACUGCUGCUGUGUCCGCAGCGUUUGCUCUACAGGUAUGAUUUUACCCUCAAAACGUAGCCAUGGCUGUCCUCUUUCAUCCAAUGUGUUUACUAUUGUACUAGGUGUUAUGGUUCUUUCAUAAAUGUCACCAAUGCACAGCCUCCUCCCUCCAACUCUUCCAUAGACUCUAAUGUUAAAAUGGCUCAGAAGGUUCGUUUGAAAAUCAGAAGAGCAUGGUGUCUUUCCACUGUCACCACGUCCAUAUAAUAAACUCCACAGGCAUGAAAACUGAGAAUUCAGUAGACUAGAAGCUGCUGUCGCUCACGGUGAAAGAAUUUUGUCAAUACGACUUUUACUUUUCAUUUGGGAACGAUUUGUUUCGGCCUGACUUUUCUGUUCAUUUUAAGCAGCAAAAGUGAGGCGCAUGUCUGUGUACGUGUGUAUGGAGCCAUUGGGUGCGGUCACUAUAGCAACCAGGCUCACACCUGCCUGCUUAACGAGCUCUGCCUGCCACUGUACCAAGAUUCAUCUUAAGAACUUCUCUUUCAACUGCUGCUGUGUCCACAGUGUUACAGCCAUCAUUUUACCCUCAAAUUGUCGCCAUUAUUGUUCUCUUUCCAACACCGUAUCUUUCAAAGCUCAGGCAUUUAAACUUUUUAAACUGUGUGGAUCAAAGUGGAGGGAUCACAUUUGAGUCAUUCAGUGAUUCAAAGAAUAUGACCUUUUAAUAUUCAUUCAGAUGUUUUCUGACUCUAAAUGUUCUUUUCUCAUUUCUUAGGGUUUUCUAAUUUACAUUUAAAACAUUUUCAGUUUUUUUCCAACUCCUUCUUCUGUGUAACCUUCAGCUUUUAGCAGUUCAGCACCUUUGUUUUCAGGUUAAAUUCGGGUUUUUUUUGUUUUUUUUUAAUCUCAUUCAAUAUUUUUAACUCAAAAUUCAGCAAUUAAUUCAUUUCAGUGCAUACAUUCAGAUUCAAGCAUUCACACUGCAGUUUCUUCAGAAAAUGCACUUUCUAGUUAUUAUAUUUUAUUAUUAUUAUCUAUUCCGUACGUUUUUUGAAAGCCAACUCCUUCAAAACCGUUCAACUUAGAAAAACCAUUCAAACACCGUUAGAUUCCUAUUCUUUUGGACAACAUUGCUUCUAUUUUUCUCAUUUUUAACAUUUAUAUUUUUAAUUUUAUUCAACUUUUUUCAACAAAAAUUUAUAAUGUAUUUCAAUGGGGAGACCCUUCAAAUUCUCAUUCAACUUCAUCCUCUUUAAACUGUAUCUACUUCCACAUACAUUGACAUAGAGCCACCAUUCAAACUUUAAAACGAAGACAAGACAUUCAACUAUUCAACUUGUAUUUAUCUUUUCAAUAUCUAUUAUACUUUUUCUUCAGUUCCAGUUUAAGUUUCAUGAUGUUUUUUCACCCGUUUCAGAGUUUAUAAUGGGUGUGUAUGGGACGGAAUGUUGGGGCUAGAGUGAGGCAGCUCAACUGCUAGAGUGAGAGGAGCAAAAAAAUUAAUCUUAAAAUCUUUUUUAAAACUGCUGCUGUGUCCGCAGCGUUUGC
ensembl:lncRNA